UACAGAGGUCCCGAGCGUUGUUCGGAUUCACUGGGCGUAAAGGGUGCGUAGGUGGUGAGGUGUGUCGGAUGUGAAAUCUCGGAGCUCAACUCCGAAACUGCAUUGGAAACUACCUUGCUGGAGGGUUGGAGGGGGGACUGGAAUGCUUGGUGUAGCAGUGAAAUGCGUAGAUAUCAAGCGGAACACCAGUGGCGAAGGCGAGUCCCUGGACAACUCCUGACACUGAGGCACGAAAGCUAGGGGAGCAAACAGG
rnacentral:rRNA from 1 species